CGACAGGUGGUCACAUUGGCACUUUCCUGUCAGGGAAAAAGUGUUGGGUCUUGCGCAAGGCUAUAUACGGGCGAUCUCUACAUACAGACGCUAACAUGCGGCUGGCAGUGCGGGCACUAGCGCCGGUUGUUCGGGACGGCAAACUCAACACGUACGUCAAACAGAGCAAACUCUGGAGACCUGGAGAGGUGUGGCCGGUGGUUGCCAUGGUGACGGUGGGAACCGCCCUGUGCGGUUUUAUCUACAGGACCAAGUCCUACGUGGGAUCCCAGGGCCGACGUGAAAGCUUCCUGGUCUUUGACCCCUCGCGCAAGUAGGGCAUUCCAUCGGUGACGUCAUAGGAGUGCCCGCCGCCAUAUUGGAGUCUCAUUUGCAUUUAAAGAGAGCUCCAGCGUCACUUAAGAUAUUACGACGCCAUCCAUCUGGAUGAUCGAAAUAUUUUGAAAUUUGUCGAUAAAACAUAUAGCUGCUAUGCAAGGGUGUAGAUAUCAAUAAUGUGAAUAUACAUAUAUACAUUUUAUUGCUAAAGAAGAUACUAGAAUCUUUGGCGAUUGCUGUGACUAAGGCUGAUUAUUGUCAUGCCUACGUAUAUACCUACUUACCUACUAUUGAUUGACAUAUGCUCACUGAACAAUUCUUACAAAUGCAGAACAUUAAAAAGUCAUUGACUGUGUAGGCUCGUAUGAACAGUAAAGCUUGUACAUUCAACGAAUGAACCAAGUCUAUCGUACCCAUAAUGUUCAAGGCACGUACGUGUUCUUUGACCAGUCUUCGUCUAUAUCCACUGGGCUCUUGUACAAAUUCCUGCCAUUAAAGAUUUAUUGAGCGUGAAACUUUA